GUGGCGAACGGGUGAGUAAUACAUAAGCAACCUGCCUCAAUGCCUGGGAUAACUGAUGGAAACGUCAGCUAAUACCGGAUAGGUUAAGUCAAGACAUCUUGAUUUAUUAAAGAUGGGAUACAUCACAAUGAGAUGGGCUUAUGGCGCAUUAGUUAGUUGGUGAGGUAACGGCUCACCAAGACGAUGAUGCGUAGCCGACCUGAGAGGGUGACCGGCCACACUGGGACUGAGACACGGCCCAG
rnacentral:rRNA from 1 species